GAUGUAAGUGAUCAACAAUCCACGAAAAUUGAUACCCACAAAAAUAAAUGAAUCCACUGUAAUGAGAUGUUGGAUGAAGACAAAGUUGAAAACAGAUACAAAUGACUAUAACUGUUCUUUCUGUUUUGGGGACUUUGUAUCAUACCAGUCCAUUAAGAUAAAACACAAUGUUUUGUUAAGAACGUUUGAAUACGCAGAACUAAACAAACUUUUUUAUAUAGUACCCGGAUGAAUUAUUUCCAGGGCCGUAACUACAUUGAGGCAAAUGAGGCAAAUGCCUCAUGUUGGAAAUUUAAAAAAAAAAAAAAAAAAAAAAAACUGAAACAAGAUUGUCUUCAUAUCAGCCUGAAUUGUUUUCACGGAAAGUGUCUUGCAAGUCUCUCUGAUGUCGCCACUGCAUGUUUUUCAUGAUCCAUGUUUCUAUUUUACUUUUAGUUUUCAGAGUUGAUGGUCUAUUGUUUGUACUUCUGUGUCCCAGGUUUGUCUUUUGUUCAAUUAUUGUCCUUCUUUAUAACUAUAGUCUGCAGAGUGUUGAUUUUCAUUUGUAGACUGUGGUUUUGCCAUGUUGCAUGUCCACCGAUGUCCAGAAAUAUACGAUGCUACUAGACAUAGAAUGAAAUUCAAAACAGUGUAGCUGUGGCCAUUGAUUGACACAUUAAAUUCAUCCAUUGACUGGAACAAUUUAGGUGAACGUUUGUCUGAAACGACCACUGUUCACG
rnacentral:lncRNA from 1 species